UACGUAGGGGCCAAGCGUUGUCCGGAAUCAUUGGGCGUAAAGGGCGCGUAGGUGGCGGGACAAGCGUGCGGUGAAAGCCUGGGGCUCAACCCCGGGUCGGCCGUGCGAACUGUUUUGCUUGAGCACUGUAGAGGCAGGCGGAAUUCCGGGUGUAGCGGUGGAAUGCGUAGAGAUCCGGAAGAACACCGGUGGCGAAGGCGGCCUGCUGGGCAGUAGCUGGACACUGAGGCGCGACAGCGUGGGGAGCAAACAGG
rnacentral:rRNA from 1 species